UCGAUUGAGUCACCCAUGGGAGAAUGCAAAAUGGAGGAAAUGUCGUUGGCAACUCUUUUUGAACAAGCUCGUAAGAUCCAUCUUACGGUCAUUGAGUCUGGUGCUGAUCAGGAUCUUGUGAAGAAAUGAUGCAAGAUGCUUGGGAAGUGCGACGAUAUGAUCAACAAGCUAGGGCUUUUCUCAUCCAAUGAGACCAAAGAUGAUACCAGUACCACCAAUCUUAAGUACAUUCUGGCGCCAUUUUAUCUUGCAGAGAAGACCAAAAAGCUUGCGCAUGAUGCAAGGAUACCAGUUCUCAAGAUUUCACAUGUGAAAUUGAAGGUAAAGUUUAGUUCAUAGCGCGAAGUGAGUUUGAUUGAAGGCUUACUUUGGAAGUUUAGCAUUGUAGAUAAUAUUUUACAAAAAGUUUUCUUCGUAACAAUUUUUUAAUUCUGUUAAAACUUGGAAUCUCUCUUUUAUUGUCUAUCAUGUCAAUUGGAUCUUUAUAAAGUGUGGUGUCUUUCAUGAAUUCAUUUCAUUUUGCGAGGCAAUGAAACUUGUACCACAGGAAGAAUUGGAAGCUUCUGCACAAAAUUCCUUGAAUUCUUUUGAUGAUCGAAGAGCCUUGAAGAUUGCUUUCUUUAGACGCCAAAGAGCUGCAGAAGCAAAGCUGACAGAAAUAAAGGAGCGGAAGAAGUAAAGUGGGCGUUCAAUAAAAGUAGAUGCCUUAUCCACUCUGUUGAGGUCGGAGAGGAUGAACAGCUAGAUGAUGAUGGGGAAGAGGAAAUAAGUUGUACCCCACGCAUGCACCAGCCAUCUUGUGACCAUACUGCUCCACAGUAUCCCCAUGCCCUGUGCAACCAUGCUUCAUAGCAGCCCCUAUCAACAAGUCUCCAACAACGACAAUGGCCACAUGGCCUCAUCACCAAAUCAGCAGCAACAAACAAAAAGAAAGAAAAAUUGUAAAAAGUAGAUGAUUUUUUUCUCGGGUUAUAAGAACCCAAAAACAUUAUGUAAAAGGGGGAGGUCUUUCCUUUUCUUUCUCUUCUUCCUUUUUAAUGAAA